rnacentral:rRNA from 1 species
GACGAACGCUGGCGGCGUGCUUAACACAUGCAAGUGGAGCGACGAACCGGGGCUUGCCCCGGGCAGAGCCGCGAACGGGUGAGUAACACGUGGGUAACCCACCCCGAUGACCGGGACAACCCGAGGAAACUCGGGCUAAUACCGGAUGUGCUCCUUGACCUCGAGGUCAAGGCUAAAGAUAGCUUCGGCCUUCGCAUCGGGACGGGCCCGCGGCCCAUUAGCUUGUUGGUGGGGUAAAGGCCUACCAAGGCGACGAUGGGUAGCUGGUCUGAGAGGACGAUCAGCCACACUGGGACUGAGACACGGCCCAGACUCCUACGGGAGGCAGCAGUGGGGAAUC